UACGUAGGGUGCAGGCGUUAAUCGGAAUUACUGGGCGUAAAGAGCGUGUAGGCGGCCAGGUAGGUCCGUUGUGAAAACUCGAGGCUCAACCUCGAGACGUCGGCGGAAACCCUCUGGCUAGAGUCCGGAAGAGGAGAGUGGAAUUCCUGGUGUAGCGGUGAAAUGCGCAGAUAUCAGGAAGAACACCCGUGGCGAAGGCGGCUCUCUGGGACGGUACUGACGCUGAGACGCGAAAGCGUGGGGAGCAAACAGG
rnacentral:rRNA from 1 species